AUCUGGUUCAGGAUGAACGCUAGCUACAGGCUUAACACAUGCAAGUCGAGGGGCAGCAUUGGGAUAGCUGCUAUUCAGAUGGCGACCGGCGCACGGGUGAGUAACGCGUAUCCAACCUUCCUGCCAGUAGGGAACAGCCCGGCGAAAGUCGGAUUAAUGCCCUAUGUUCUUCAAUGCGGACAUCUAAGUUGAAGGAAAGAUUCAUCGCUGGCAGAUGGGGAUGCGUCCGAUUAGCUUGCCGGCGGGGUAACGGCCCACCGGGGCGACGAUCGGUAGGGGUUCUGAGAGGAAGGUCCCCCACACUGGUACUGAGACACGGACCAGACUCCUACGGGAGGCAGCAGUGAGGAAUAUUGGUCAAUGGGCGUAAGCCUGAACCAGCCAAGUAGCGUGCAAGGAUGACGGCCCUACGGGUUGUAAACUGCUUUUAUGCGGGGAUAAAGUGCGGCACGUGUGCCGCUUUGCAGGUACCGCAUGAAUAAGGACCGGCUAAUUCCGUGCCAGCCGCGGC
rnacentral:rRNA from 1 species